UGGGGAAUAUUGGACAAUGGGCGGAAGCCUGAUCCAGCAACGCCGCGUGAGGGAUGACGGCCUUCGGGUUGUAAACCUCUUUCAGUACCGACGAAGCGAAAGUGACGGUAGGUACAGAAGAAGGACCGGCCAACUACGUGCCAGCAGCCGCGGUAAUACGUAGGGUCCGAGCGUUGUCCGGAAUUAUUGGGCGUAAAGGGCUCGUAGGCGGUUUGUCGCGUCGGGAGUGAAAACAGCGGGCUUAACUCGUUGCUUGCUUUCGAUACGGGGCAAGACUAGAGGUAUGCAGGGGAGAAUGGAAUUCCUGGUGUAGCGGUGAAAUGCGCAGAUAUCAGGAGGAACACCGGUGGCGAAGGCGGUUCUCUGGGCAUUACCUGACGCUGAGGAGCGAAAGUGUGGGGAGCGAACAGGAUUAGA
rnacentral:rRNA from 1 species